rnacentral:tRNA from 1 species
GGCAACUUGGCCGAGUGGUUAAGGCGCUGUGUUAAGGUCGCAGUGGAUAUUCCUCGCAGGUUCGAGUCCUGCAGUUGUCA